GUGGGGAAUAUUGCGCAAUGGGGGAAACCCUGACGCAGCGACGCCGUGUGAGGGAAGAAGGCUUUCGGGUCGUAAACCUCUGUCAGAAAGGAAGAACCUCCCAAGUCCGAAUAGGGCUUGGGACUGACGGUACUUUCAAAGGAAGCACCGGCUAACUCCGUGCCAGCAGCCGCGGUAAUACGGAGGGUGCAAGCGUUAAUCGGAAUCACUGGGCGUAAAGCGCGCGUAGGCCGCUUUGUAAGUCGGACGUGAAAGCCCUCGGCUCAACCGGGGAACUGCGGUCGAUACUGCGAGGCUUGAGUCCUGGAGAGGGUGGCGGAAUUCCGGGUGUAGGAGUGAAAUCCGUAGAUAUCCGGAGGAACACCGGUGGCGAAGGCGGCCACCUGGACAGGUACUGACGCUGAGGCGCGAAAGCGUGGGGAGCAAACAGGAUUAGAAACCCCAGUAGUCC
rnacentral:rRNA from 1 species